rnacentral:rRNA from 1 species
UACGAAGGGGGCUAGCGUUGCUCGGAUUCAUUGGGCGUAAAGGGUGCGUAGGCGGCGAGGCAAGUCAGGUGUGAAAUCUCGGGGCUCAACUCCGAAACUGCACUUGAUACUGCCUUGCUAGAGUACUGGAGAGGAGAUUGGAAUUUACGGUGUAGCAGUGAAAUGCGUAGAUAUCGUAAGGAAGACCAGUGGCGAAGGCGAAUCUCUGGACAGUUACUGACGCUGAGGCACGAAGGCCAGGGGAGCAAACGGG